rnacentral:rRNA from 1 species
UAACAAGGUAACCAUGGUAGAAUUCCAGGUGUAGCGGUGAAAUGCGUAGAGAUCUGGAGGAAUACCGAUGGCGAAGGCAGCCAUCUGGCCUAAUACUGACACUGAGGUGCGAAAGCAUGGGGAGCAAACAGGAUUAGAUACCCUGGUAGUCCAUGCCGUAAACGAUGUCUACUAGCCGUUGGGGCCUUUGAGGCUUUAGUGGCGCAGCUAACGCGAUAAGUAGACCGCCUGGGGAGUACGGUCGCAAGACUAAAACUCAAAUGAAUUGACGGGGGCCCGCACAAGCGGUGGAGCAUGUGGUUUAAUUCGAUGCAACGCGAAGAACCUUACCUGGUCUUGACAUAUUAAGAACUUUCCAGAGAUGGAUUGGUGCCUUCGGGAACUUACAUACAGGUGCUGCAUGGCUGUCGUCAGCUCGUGUCGUGAGAUGUUGGGUUAAGUCCCGCAACGAGCGCAACCCUUUUCUUUAUUUGCCACCGGGUUAAGCCGGGAACUUUAAGGAUACUGCCAUUGACAAACUGGAGGAAGGCGGGGACGACGUCAAGUCAUCAUGGCCCUUACGACCAGGGCUACACACGUGCUACAAUGGUCGGUACAAAGGGUUGCUACCUCGCGAGAGGAUGCUAAUCUCAAAAAGCCGAUCGUAUUCCGGAUUGGAUUCUGCAACUCGACUCCAUGAAUUCGGAAUCGCUAGUAAUCGCGAAUCAGAAUGCCGCGGUGAAUACGUUCCCGGGCCUUGUACACACCGCCCGU